rnacentral:rRNA from 1 species
UACGUAGGGUGCGAGCGUUGUCCGGAAUUAUUGGGCGUAAAGAGCUUGUAGGCGGUCUGUCGCGUCUGCUGUGAAAAUCCGGGGCUCAACCCCGGACUUGCAGUGGGUACGGGCAGACUAGAGUGUGGUAGGGGGAGACUGGAAUUCCUGGUGUAGCGGUGAAAUGCGCAGAUAUCAGGAGGAACACCGAUGGCGAAGGCAGGUCUCUGGGCCAACUACUGAC